GACGAACGCUGGCGGCGUGCCUAACACAUGCAAGUCGAACGGAACUGUUUUGAAAGAUUUCUUCGGAAUGAAUUUGAUUUAGUUUAGUGGCGGACGGGUGAGUAACGCGUGAGUAACCUGCCUUCAAGAGGGGGAUAACAUUCUGAAAAGAAUGCUAAUACCGCAUGACAUAUCGGGAUCACAUGAUUUUGAUAUCAAAGAUUUUAUCGCUUGAAGAUGGACUCGCGUCCGAUUAGUUAGUUGGUGAGGUAACGGCUCACCAAGACCGCGAUCGGUAGCCGGACUGAGAGGUUGAACGGCCACAUUGGGACUGAGACACGGCCCAGACUCCUACGGGAGGCAGCAGUGGGGGAUAUUGCGCAAUGGGGGCAACCCUGACGCAGCAACGCCGCGUGAAGGAUGAAGGUUUUCGGAUUGUAAACUUCUUUUAUUAAGGACGAAAAAUGACGGUACUUAAUGAAUAAGCUCCGGCUAACUACGUGCCAGCAGCCGCGGUAAUACGUAGGGAGCAAGCGUUGUCCGGAUUUACUGGGUGUAAAGGGUGCGUAGGCGGCUUUGCAAGUCAGAUGUGAAAUCUAUGGGCUCAACCCAUAAACUGCAUUUGAAACUGUAGAGCUUGAGUGAAGUAGAGGCAGGCGGAAUUCCCCGUGUAGCGGUGAAAUGCGUAGAGAUGGGGAGGAACACCAGUGGCGAAGGCGGCCUGCUGGGCUUUAACUGACGCUGAGGCACGAAAGCGUGGGUAGCAAACAGGAUUAGAUACCCUGGUAGUCCACGCUGUAAACGAUGA
rnacentral:rRNA from 1 species